CCGCUCCCGCGGGCGGCCGCUGCUGUGCGCAUGCGCGGGGCCGUCGGCGCGGGCGGGGCGCGGCGGUUUCCCUGAGUAAGGCUGCACUUCAGAAGAGUCCUGUUCUCUGAUGCUGUUACAAAUUUAAUCUAACAAGAGUUGAACUUCAGGCUUCUGAUUUAAAAAAAACAAGAGGCUGUUCCAUCAUGAACUUGAGCAGGAUCAGGGACAUCUGAUCCUAAGUCAAAGUCAGAAGACCAGCAUAAAACACCAGAUGCGUUAUUGACAACACUCCAAGCAGGAAGAUUUUGAAGACUAACAGAUGUGCACUGGAGCUUGCCACACAGACUAUGCCUGUAUUGAAUGAAUGACACUCAGAGACAAGGAUUUCCUUAGCAGUACUGCCACCAGUUUGGGGUCCAUGAAAAUGAAGGCAAUACAGAAGUGGCCUGCCAGGCCAAACCCACCUGCAAUGACACCAUGCCAAAGCAAGAGCUCUGGAGACCCUUGGCUGCUGGAACAGGCUGAGGAGAAGGCUUGGACUCAAGAGAAACAGAAAGGUAUUUACCCUCAA